CUACGUGCCAGCAGCCGCGGUAAUACGUAGGGUGCAAGCGUUAAUCGGAAUUACUGGGCGUAAAGCGUGCGCAGGCGGUCUGUCAAGUCGGAUGUGAAAUCCCCGGGCUCAACCUGGGAACUGCAUUCGAAACUGGCAGGCUAGAGUCUUGUAGAGGGGGGUAGAAUUCCAGGUGUAGCGGUGAAAUGCGUAGAGAUCUGGAGGAAUACCGGUGGCGAAGGCGGCCCCCUGGACAAAGACUGACGCUCAGGUGCGAAAGCGUGGGGAGCAAACAGGAUUAGAUACCCUGGUAGUCCACGCCGUAAACGAUGUCGACUUGGAGGUUGUGCCCUUGAGGCGUGGCUUCCGGAGCUAACGCGUUAAGUCGACCGCCUGGGGAGUACGGCCGCAAGGUUAAAACUCAAAUGAAUUGACGGGGGCCCGCACAAGCGGUGGAGCAUGUGGUUUAAUUCGAUGCAACGCGAAGAACCUUACCAAGGCUU
rnacentral:rRNA from 1 species